rnacentral:rRNA from 1 species
GACGAACGCUGGCGGCGUGCCUAACACAUGCAAGUCGUACGGGACCGGGGGCAACUCCGGCCCAGUGGCAGAUGGGUGCGUAACACGUGAGGAACUUGUCCGACGGUGGGGGAUAGCCGGCCCAACGGCCGGGUAAUACCGCAUACGCUCGCUUGGGGACAUCCCCGGGCGAGGAACGCAGCCGCAAGGUUGCGCCGAUGGAGAGCCUCGCGGCCUAUCAGCUUGUUGGCGGGGUAAUGGCCCACCAAGGCGACGACGGGUAGCUGGUCUGAGAGGAUGGCCAGCCACAUUGGGACUGAGACACGGCCCAGACUCCUACGGGAGGCAGCAGUGGGAAUAUUGCGCAAUGCCGCAAGGCUGACGCAGCGACGCCGCGUGUGGGAUGACGGCCCUCGGGUUGUAAACC